GCUAGUUGUAUUAUUAGUUAAUGCAAGAUCGACUACGUCGACUAAAGUUCUAGGUAGAAUAAUGAUGAUGACAAUUUUUUACCUAUAUGUCUUGACCAAGUCUCGUGCCAGCAGUCGCGGUAAUACGUGGAAGACUAGUGUUAUUCAUCUUUAUUAGGUUUAAAGGGUACCUAGACGGUAUUUCUAGCCCAAAAUAGGGUACGGAUUUACUAGAGUUUUAUGUGAGAAGGGGAGUACUCGUGGAGUAGAGAUGAAAUUUUGUUAUACUAUGAGGUAACUGGUGGCGGCGAAAGCAACCUUCUAUGUAUAAACUGACGUUGAGGGACGAAGGCUUGGGUAGCAAAUAGGAUUAGAUACCCUAGUAGUCCAAGCAGACAAUUCUGAAUGCCAUAGAUUAGAUUAUUUUUGGUCUAUAAAUGAAAGUGUAAGCAUUCCACCUUAGGAGUAAUGUGGCAACACAGGAACUGAAAUCAUUAGACCGUUUCUGAAACCAGUAGUGAAGUAUGUUAUUUAAAUUGAUGGUCCACAAAAAACCUUACCACAACUUGAAUAUUUUUAAAUUAAUACAAGAGUUGCACGGCUGUCUUCAGUUAAUGUCGUGAGAUUUUGGUUAACUCCAUUAAUUAACGUAAACCCUUACUUUA
rnacentral:rRNA from 1 species